GACACUUUGCAUCCGCCUCUCUGUUUGGGAGGAGGCGGCCAAGCAGUGUUUUUCUCCUGGCAUGGCAUGAUACGUCAUUUGCUAUGUCACCUAAAGGAGGAAUGUUUGGUUGUGUCUGCGUGUGCUUCAAACUUGCCUCUGUGGCACAUCCCAAUUUCACUUCUGGUCUCAAAUCAGGUAGGAUCACCCGCUGAACUUAA
rnacentral:misc_RNA from 1 species